AGACAGCAGUAGCCGCGGUAAUACGUAGGUCCCGAGCGUUGUCCGGAUUUAUUGGGCGUAAAGGGAGCGCAGGCGGUUUAGUAAGUCUGAAGUUAAAGGCAUUGGCUCAACCAAUGUAUGCUUUGGAAACUGUUUAACUUGAGUGCAAGAGGGGAGAGUGGAAUUCCAUGUGUAGCGGUGAAAUGUGUAGAUAUAUGGAGGAACACCGGUGGCGAAAGCGGCUCUCUGGCUUGUAACUGACGCUGAGGCUCGAAAGCGUGGGGCGCAAACAGGAUCAGAUACCCCCGUAGUCCCUGUCUCUUAUACA
rnacentral:rRNA from 1 species